ACAAACUUGGUCAUUUAGAGGAAGUAAAAGUCGUAACAAGGUUUCCGUAGGUGAACCUGCGGAAGGAUCAUUACCGAUUUGAGUGAGCCUGAUCUUUUUGAUCAUGGUCUUGCUAAAUUUUUGUAUUUAAAACCCCACUCUUGUAAUUAAUAAAAGUUUUGUUGUAUUAUGAUAAAAAUAAAGAUCACUUUCAACAACGGAUCUCUUGGCUCUCUUAGAGGAAGUAAAAGUCGUAACAAGGUUUCCGUAGGUGAACCUGCGGAAGGAUCAUUACCGAUUUGAGUGAGCCUGAUCUUUUUGAUCAUGGUCUUGCUAAAUUUUUGUAUUUAAAACCCCACUCUUGUAAUUAAUAAAAGUUUUGUUGUAUUAUGAUAAAAAUAAAGAUCACUUUCAACAACGGAUCUCUUGGCUCUCGCAUCGAUGAAGAACGCAGC
rnacentral:misc_RNA from 1 species